ensembl:lncRNA
GCAACUAUUACAUGUAUACAAAUACAGUGACUCACGUGUAGGCCGUUUCACUGCUCUUCAGACUGGGCCGCUGCAUCCUGACUGCGCUCUGCAGUGUUCUCUUCUUCUGAAGCCCGCGGUGCAGUCAGUGGUAAUUUCAUGGACCUACAAUUGGCUGAAACACGUCAACGUGGCAACAAAGAGGAAAGAGACUGACGGCUGUUUCAACAGGGGGCUGGUCAAGCGUCUUGUUUGCACUUUAAACCACAAACCCUGGAUUUAUAAAAGGUGUUGCUACACAGGACAGGACUGGGACAGGACUGGGAGUUCAUAAUCCAAGAAGAACGUGAAUUGCACGGGGUAAUUGGUAGUUUCUGGACAGCGCGUGCCCUGUUUUUGGAUUCGCUAAUCUAAAUGGGAAAGAUAACACACAGGCUGGGUUGCUGUUUUGUAUCAGACGACAUUCACUGACCUUCUGUCACCUAUUCAUCAUGCGCUCACUCACCAGCUCCAUCUUUCUCUCUACCACCAGAUUAAUUCUCCCUUUUUCACUCACCUUUAGUCUUUCCAUAAAUCAAUCAAUCUAAAUGUGCAGCUGUCCGAAUAAUGUACAGAAUAAGAGCGGGUAUUGUGAUUAGCAAAAAAGCCUGCCUCCUAGUUCCCCCAUCGCUAAAGGCCGACGUCUACACUGUAGCUGUUGUUUGCACUCUUAUCACUGUUCUGCCAUGUUGAGAGGCAGUAGAUGCUCAGAGCAUCAAACCAGGCGCCUUUCAGUUUGAAUUGUGUUUUGUUUUGAAUGAACCGACCUAAUUUGAUGUGGAAUGUAAUGCAGAUGUUGUUUCUAGGGCAAUUUCUACAAACUCAAAAAAUACUGUGAUGUACAACAACUGGGUCAAACAUUUUUCAAAAUGAUUGUCUCUAAAGUGAUUAGUCAACAUUAGAACACAAUAAACUCACAGUAAUGCUUCAUUCAUCUCUGUCUGCAGUUGUAAAAGCUGUCUUUUGAAUAUAAUUUAUAUGAUUAAUAUCUAACUCGUACUACUCUCGCCCGGUAACCUUCUUCUUAAAAUAAAACAUUCCACAUUUGCCCCUUUCACUUCAUCCCAUUGGUUCAAAGUGUGACUCGGCCGCAAAUCCCCAAGUGUCAAUAAAAAGGCAUCUUCCACGGCUGUAAAAUCCAAUAUGUGUGUGUCAGAGGCCAGCCGGAUAUAAGUCCUGACAUGGGGGGAAAGUGGAG